UACGUAGGGUGCGAGCGUUAAUCGGAAUUACUGGGCGUAAAGCGUGCGCAGGCGGUUCGCCAAGUCAGGUGUGAAAUCCCCGGGCUUAACCUGGGAACUGCGUUUGUGACUGCAAGACUAGAGUACGGCAGAGGGGGGUAGAAUUCCACGUGUAGCAGUGAAAUGCGUAGAUAUGUGGAGGAAUACCGAUGGCGAAGGCAGCCCCCUGGGUCGAUACUGACGCUCAUGCACGAAAGCGUGGGGAGCAAACAGG
rnacentral:rRNA from 1 species